AAGAAUUUGUUCGCCAGAAAAAACAGGUUCUCCAUUGCUAUUUAAUCUGAUAGUCAUGGUAGCUUUUUUGCCACAGCGACAAAUAGUUUUGAUUUCAGUAAGUUUAUCAGCCCAUGCUAAUAAGUAUUUACUUCCUUCAAAUAAAUUUCCCUUAAAGUCUGUUCUCAAACCAUAGCAUAGUACUGGAAUAUUUAGCUUAUCAACAACAAUGCAUAAUUCUCUAACUUGGAAUUUCGUUAGGAAUUGGCUUUCAUCAACUAGAACACAAU
rnacentral:antisense_RNA from 1 species